AUUCCCGCUCCCCGUCUGUUGCGCAUGCGCUUCCUACUCUCAGGCCGAUUCAGGGUCAUGGGCCUCACACUGCGCAGGCGCAGUAGUGCGUAACGUGUGCGCCGCUUGCUGCGGGUGUGUAGGGGUGUCCUGCUCGCGCCACCGGGUAGUCCUUGCUCUGCGCGCGGCUGGCGGGGAGGCUGCGCUGGGUUCAGCCUGUGCUUUCCUUGCCCUAGGUUUGUUUUCAGGGCAGUUUGUACCGCCCCGUGAUUAACGUGAAAUCCGCUGUCCCGAGCCCUGCUGCCAAACCUGCCUCCACCUGCUUCUGCUUGCAGCUGGGGCCCCCUGCCGCCCUGAAGUUGGAGCCACACGCAAGGGGGCUGGUUCCUGGGCAGAGCCUCACUAGGGUUGCCACCUUUCUAAUGGCUGGUAACUGGACCCCUGAGGUUCCGUCCCCUGCUCUGCCCCCCUCCCCCCCCCCCGUUGUGUCAUUUGCUUUGCCUCUUCCUGGCCCUACCCUCUUUCCACCUCCCUCCCCCCCCCCCCCCCCCAAGAAGGGCAUGCCCCUCCCCACCAGAUCAAAAAUCCAGACAUCUGGGCUUGUCAAAUGGCACUGGGACACACAAGCCGAAACCCAGGUGGUCCAGGUAAAAACCGGAUGGGUGGCAACCCUAAGCCUCACUAGGCAGCACUGUCCAGCCAUGUAGAUCCAAUAACAUAACUGGGGCGUAAAACUGUAAGAAGUGACGGGGUGCAAAACACAAGGGGCCAGACCCGCAAUAAGACAAAGGCAUUGCAGUGCUCAGCAUUACAGUGCCUCAUGUUUAGGUGUUCUGUCACUCAGUGGAGUCCUCAGCCCUACGUUUGGUGCUCAGGCUCCCUAUACAAUCCACAUCAAAAAUUGAGCCACCUACAAAUGGACUCACUAGAAAGCCUGAAAAUUGAGGGGAACAGCUUUAAAAGGAGAGAUUGAGAAUGACCUAGUCCAGAAAAUACCAUAGCUCAGUGGUUUGGGCAGUCACCAGGAAUAUAGAAGAUCCUGCUACACAUGAAGCAGAGUGGGGAUUUGAAAUCAGGUAUCCCACGUUCCAGGAGUACCAUAGGCAGACCCCUCCAAUUGCUCUGAAGCCAACAAUCACAGGAUCAGGGCCAGAAGUACGACCUUACCUAUGGAACAGCAGCUGCCACUCCAUCAAUACUAUAUUGGUAUCCAGUGAAGAAUUUCCAUUGAAAGGGUCACUCAGCCCAGAUACAAGUGAAAUUCUCCUCUGGUGGUGAUAACAGUGAUGCUACUCAAUGAACUACUGUAUAACAAGGGCUCUAAAUGCAUCUCCUGUAGCAUACCACAGUGAUUUGCAAAAGUGGGAAUAAAUCAAAGCAGUGAAGAGAUGCCAUGUUGAGCCAGAAGCUAAAUGUUACAUCUUGUUGCAUGAGGUAAGGGAGAACAGAUCCUGUUUUUCUGGCAGCACAAUAUUGUUGUGCUGGAUACCUCAGAUCCAGCCCCAUUAAAACAAUCAUUCAGAACCUACAGGAGAUUGCCACCUCUUUCUUUCAUGCAAUGGCAGCUGGUAUUGGUACUUACAGAUAUUCCUCAUUCCCUUCAAGAUUUUCAACACACAAAAAAGAAGCUUAAUUUAUAUUUAAAAAAUAAGUGUCAGCUUACCCUGAGGCUCAUCACUGGCACCCGGGGAAAAAAAGAAAAAAAAAAAAAGAUAAAUGCUUCUAGGUGAACUGGCAGAGAUGCUAAUUCUCCACUCACUUUACCGCUACACUAUAUGCACCACAUUAAUCAUUUCACAGACAUUUCAGAAAACUUGCACAAUUUUCAAAUAAAGAUGCAUCGUCUUCAACUCAAUAAUAAUAGAACUAUAUCUUGUAGAGCCAGCUUAGUUCAUACAAACUGCAUCCCCAAACAGAUUUAUAAAAUAUUCCUAUAGACCUCUGGGAUGUAAUUUUUAUCCUUAUGUGGUUGUUUGUCUAUAUAGUUUUGUCUUCUCCAGUGAAUAUUUUUCCAUGUGUUUGUACAUACAUAAUAUUGCCAUUUGUCUUAUUCAACUGCUAACACACUUGGGAUGUUUUCUGCUUCACAGUUUUAUUGUAUGGAUGGGUAAAUGCAUUAUAUGAUCCUUAUGAACUGUGUUUUAUACCUCAGUACAGAUCUAAUAUAUUUUUGCUUUUGUUUUUUUAAUAUAGAGCAGAGCUGCAUCUUCCACUAACUUAUGUAAAUUCUGUGGGGGUUUCAUGUUUUUAGUUUUAAAUUAUAAAGACACUUGAGCCCAGAUCCUCAACUAUAUUUAGACCCCUAACUUCCACUGAUUUCAUUGAAAAAGGAUACAGUACAAUGACAUCAAUUAUAACAUUUCAAAAAUACUGUUUAGAAACUUUCCUUGUUAUAGUGAAACUGAACACCCCUUGGAUCAGCUGAUGAGUACAAGUUGCACCUCUUUUGAAGGAUCUUGGCGAGAGCUUUGGGUCCACAGAAGAAUACACCGAUGCUCUUGCUGCAGCAACAAAAAGAUAACAGAACAAAACAAAUAAACCACAUAUUUUGACAAUCCUCAGUUUUGUUUAAAUCUUUUAAAAUGGCCUUUUGACAAAUGCAUUUUAAAAGUUUUGCCUGUGUUCAUUUCACAAAGUAUUAUUUUAUAACCAUCUUUAUUUUAAAUUCUUCUUUAGUGUUUAUUACAUUUUAUUACAGUGUUCAACUGGAUUGCUAUAACUGGGGUUGCAAAAAACAUUUUUUAUGAUAACUCUGUUUUCACACUAUCAUAGUUUUACAAAAAAAUACCUACUCCAUGGGCUAAAAUUUUCCAUUCUUUGUCUCUAAGUGGAAGUAAUUUUAAAAAAUGCAAAAAAUCCCUACAGUUAUUUUUGAGUUCUAUGAAGAUGAAAAAAAAAUACAUAUUUCUGUAUUUAAUUUAAAAGUGGCUGAAUUUUGAAACUUGACAUGUAAGAGGUCCUCAUAGAAGAAUAAGUCCAUGCCCAAGUUUGCAGAUAUCUAGGCAAUGAUGUUACAAACAAUAGAAAAAUAGCUAUUUUCUGCACAGUCGAAUAUAUCAUUGUUUGAGGGUUUGCUUUUAAAAAGACACUGUGCACAUAUCCAUUAAAUAUAUAAAGUACACACUCAUUAGCUGCGCACCUACUGGGGAAAAUUUUCAG